AUACGCUCCAGAACUGGACACACUGACCCAGUCUCCCACCUCUCCCUCCACCUGCUCUUGGUCCCCCGCACCCGCCCCCAGGGGUCCUGCACCCACAGUGUGAGAGGCCUGGGGAGGAGGGCUUGGGUCCCCAUCUCUAGGUGCCUUCUCUCUCCUGUCCCAAGUGAGACCCUGGCAAAUGCCUGGGGGCCCAACUAAUCGUCUGUCUCCCCUUCCUUCUCCCCUGCCCUCAGCAAAAAGAGGAGACUAGAUUCCGAGUGCAGGUCAGUGAUGACGGCGGGUCAGGGAAGGGCUGGGACUGGAGAGGGUGUUUGCGGGUGGGAGAGUCGAGGCCAUCCGCCAGAGGCAGGAGGCCUGCCACCUCAGGGCCUGGGCCCUGGACACGACCCUCGUGCCAGCCUUUCCCAGCAGAGCCCAGAAAUCCCAUCGUUGGAGCCUCUAACCUUUGGGUUUGAAACAGUCCUCAUUCACAAUGCCCAGGAGGCUGGAAAGGUGACAAGGGGACAACGCAGGCACUCCACCAACUACUCCUAGGGACCUUGUGGACCCUCAGGGCCUCAGUGGCAACUGCCCAAUGGCAGUUGGCUGCGCCCCUUGGAAUCCCCUUCCCAGCUCUGAUGCCUCGGGCACCCAGGCUUUCCCAGUCCUUUCCACCACCCCCUCCAUCCCGGGACCCAGUUCACUAGAGCCCCCCCCCCAACUGUGUCCACAGCUGUGGGAGCUCCUCACCCCUGCGCAAGAAGAAGAAGAGUGUGAAGAAACACCGCCGAGACAGGUAGCCUUCCUCCCCUGGGACCUCCUCUCACUUCUGUGGGGCCCCCACGCCCAAGGCUCUGCAGAUCCUGUCUCCAGGCCACACCAGGCAGGCUCACAAGAACCCCUCUAUGGUCCUACAGGUCUGAUUCUGGGUCCCGGAGGAAGAGGCGGCACAGAUCUCGAAGCCCCAAGAGCAAAAGAAAGGAAAAGAACAAAGAAAGGAAGAGGCUACACGCAGAGUCCCCAGGCCGGAGGGCCCAUCGCCACAGCAGCGGCAGGUCCCACAGCCCCUCACUGUCCUCCCAUUACAGUGAUUCCAGAUCACCCAGCAGGUAGGUCCAGGGCUGCUGGGAGCACUCAGGUGUGGUUGAGCUCAGCUUUCAGCUGGAGCGGCGGGGACUUGCAGUUUAAACGCGCCCCCCUACCCCGCCCCAGGGCUGGGAAGCAGGGCUGGUGGACAGACAGCAACUGAUCCUUGGGUAGAAAUUUACCGGGUCUGCUCUGCUGCCCAUGUCCAAGGGCGCCCCAGACACUGGACUGGAAAGCGAGGCAGCCUGAGGGCUGGGGCCUUCCUCUCUCCACAGAAGGGAUUCCCAGCCCAGUAAGAGGAGGCGGGGGCGGGGCGAGGGGACACUGCCCUUCGUG
rnacentral:lncRNA from 1 species